GACGAACGCUGGCGGCGUGCUUAACACAUGCCAGUCGAACGGAAAGGCGCUUCUUUUGUGGGUUGCUCGGGUGGAGAGGGGGUGGGGAACAUGUGAGUAACCUGCCCUGGACUUUGGGAUAGGUUCAGGGAACGGGGGCUAAUAUCGUAUAGGAGCUCCUGCGUCAGUGGGGUGGUUGGACAGUGUCGGCUGUUGUGGCGGGGGUCGGAGCUGUUGAGGUGGUUGGUGGGGUAGUGGCUUACCAAGGCUUUGGCGGGUAGGCGGGCUCAGAGGGUGACCGGCCACACUGGGACUGGGACACGGCCCAGAAUCGUACGGGAGGCAGCAGUGGGGAAUAUUGCACAAUGGCGGGAAGCCUGAUGCAGCGACGCCGCGCGCGGGAUGACGGCCUUCCGGUUGUAAACCGCUUCCGCCUGUGACGAAGCGUGAGUGACGGUAACGGGUAAAGAAGCACCGGCUAACUACGUG
rnacentral:rRNA from 1 species